rnacentral:lncRNA from 1 species
AGAGGAAAUACCUAAAUUUCGAGAAUCAAAGUUGAUGAAAGCUGAAAGGCUUCUGUUUGUUCUUCGUUCUUCAAGAAUUAAAGACGAAAUUAAAAAAUGAGAGCUGUAAAUUGAGAAGAAGUGUUGAAUCACUAAUUAGAAGUUAUUAUUAAAAUGAAAUUGAUGAGAUUUUUGUUCUUUAUUGUUAGAAAAGAAAGAGAGCAACCUUCACCCUUUGAUUCAACUCGCUAGUCUAGGGUUUGUGUGCAGAGAGAGUUCAUGGAGGAAAGUGACAAGACGGUGAGGGCUGGUGCGCUGGUGGCUGAUAUGCAGGACGAGGACGGCGACGGGGACGGCGACGGCGACGG